rnacentral:tRNA from 1 species
AGUAAUAUAGUUUAAUAAAAUAUUAAACUGCAAAUUUAAAGAUAGAAAUAUUCUUAUUACUU